GUGGGGAAUCUUGCGCAAUGGGCGAAAGCCUGACGCAGCCAUGCCGCGUGAAUGAUGAAGGUCUUAGGAUUGUAAAAUUCUUUCACCGGGGACGAUAAUGACGGUACCCGGAGAAGAAGCCCCGGCUAACUUCGUGCCAGCAGCCGCGGUAAUACGAAGGGGGCUAGCGUUGCUCGGAAUUACUGGGCGUAAAGGGCGCGUAGGCGGACAGUUUAGUCAGAGGUGAAAGCCCAGGGCUAAACCUUGGAAUUGCCUUUGAUACUGGCUGUCUUGAGUACGGGAGAGGUGAGUGGAACUCCGAGUGUAGAGGUGAAAUUCGUAGAUAUUCGGAAGAACACCAGUGGCGAAGGCGGCUCACUGGCUCGAUACUGACGCUGAGGUGCGAAAGCGUGGGGAGCAAACAGGAUUAGAUACCCGUGUAGUCC
rnacentral:rRNA from 1 species